rnacentral:rRNA from 1 species
UACGGGGGGGGCAAGCGUUGUUCGGAAUUACUGGGCGUAAAGGGCGCGUAGGCGGGUAGACAAGUCUCUCGUGAAGGCCCACGGCUCAACCGUGGAAUUGCGGGAGAUACUCUCUGUCUUGAGUCCGGGAGAGGAGGGUGGAAUUCCCAGUGUAGCGGUGAAAUGCGUAGAUAUUGGGAGGAACACCGGUGGCGAAGGCGGCUCUCUGGACCGGUACUGACGCUGAGGCGCGAAAGCUAGAGGAGCAAACGGG